GACGAACGCUGGCGGCGUGCUUAACACAUGCAAGUCGAACGGAAAGGCCCUUCGGGGUACUCGAGUGGCGAACGGGUGAGUAACACGUGGGUGAUCUGCCCUGCACUUUGGGAUAAGCCUGGGAAACUGGGUCUAAUACCGAAUAGGACCGCGCGCUUCAUGGUGUGUGGUGGAAAGCUUUUGCGGUGUGGGAUGGGCCCGCGGCCUAUCAGCUUGUUGGUGGGGUAAUGGCCUACCAAGGCGACGACGGGUAGCCGGCCUGAGAGGGUGACCGGCCACACUGGGACUGAGAUACGGCCCAGACUCCUACGGGAGGCAGCAGUGGGGAAUAUUGCACAAUGGGCGCAAGCCUGAUGCAGCGACGCCGCGUGAGGGAUGACGGCCUUCGGGUUGUAAACCUCUUUCACCAGGGACGAAGCGCAAGUGACGGUACCUGGAGAAGAAGCACCGGCCAACUACGUGC
rnacentral:rRNA from 1 species